rnacentral:rRNA from 1 species
ACCUACGGGGGGCAGCAGUGGGGAAUAUUGCACAAUGGGGGAAAUCCUGAUGCAGCGACGCCGCGUGAAGGAAGAAGUAUUUCGGUAUGUAAACUUCUAUCAGCAGGGAAGAAAACGACGGUACCUGACUAAGAAGCCCCGGCUAACUACGUGCCAGCAGCCGCGGUAAUACGUAGGGGGCAAGCGUUAUCCGGAUUUACUGGGUGUAAAGGGAGCGUAGGCGGUGCAGCAAGUCAGAAGUGAAAGCCCGGGGCUCAACUCCGGGACUGCUUUUGAAACUGUUGAACUAGAUUGCAGGAGAGGUA